AUUGAACGCUGGCGGCAUGCCUUACACAUGCAAGUCGAACGGCAGCACGGGGGCAACCCUGGUGGCGAGUGGCGAACGGGUGAGUAACACAUCGGAACGUGUCCUGUUGUGGGGGAUAACCAGUCGAAAGACUGGCUAAUACCGCAUGAGCUGGAGACAGGAAAGCGGGGGACCUGAAAGGGCCUCGUGCGAUUGGAGCGGCCGAUGUCCGAUUAGCUAGUUGGUGGGGAAAGGCCCACCAAGGCGACGAUCGGUAGCUGGUCUGAGAGGAUGAUCAGCCACACUGGGACUGAGACACGGCCCAGACUCCUACGGGAGGCAGCAGUGGGGAAUUUUGGACAAUGGGGGCAACCCUGAUCCAGCCAUGCCGCGUGAGUGAAGAAGGCCUGG
rnacentral:rRNA from 1 species